GCAAUGUGGUGUAGGGAACCUGCUUUGGCAGGGGGGUUGGACUCGAUGAUCUCUAGAGGUCCCUUCCAACCCCUACAAUUCUGUGAUUUGUUACUGACAAUUUGCCUAUUUGCACAGAACUUUAGAAUACAGUGACAACUGAGCAGCACCAGAGGAGGGUGCAGCAAUGACAGCAUACAGCUACCAGCCUGGACAGUGUGUUGCUUUGCUUUUGUUUGGCACCUGCCAGUGCUGUGCUGCAGAAGUCCAGGCUGGUGGGCCAGAAUCCAUUCACCAUGGUGCACUGCUGCAAGGUGAGGAAAAUGUUGGAGUGUGAACCUCCUACUCUAUUAAGCUCAAGAAAAUCUACAGGAGAGCAAUGUCAUGAGAGUGCCCCAGACACAGAAAAAGCUUCUGUCAUUGGAUGUGACUUGUGAGGCACUGUUAUAAGCCACAAAUGCACAAGGCAGCAAUUUAAGUGGUUCUGCUGUUCAAAGAAUAUCUGGUUUUAUUUGCUUGAUUUUUAUUUAUUAAAAUCCUCAAUGCUGAAUUACAUGCAUGCAUGUGAAUAAAGUUUAAAGAUUACGUUUUAUUGAAUAUUUAAACACUUCUAAUAAGAGUUUAAUUUUGAAAUGCCUGUAACUGAUUAUCUAUAAUGAAGGAUGUAUCCUGCCUUUUUUAUAACAGUCAGAUUUACAGUCAUACCUUUUCCCAUGAGAUCAGCAAAUUCUUGUGGCUGAAAGAGGUCCAUAGCUGGUAGCUUUUUCACCAAGAAAUUGUAUAAGCGGCUGCUAUUAUAUUAAUAGCAUAGAGAAGCGUGGGCUGGUAGCAUCUAUCUCCCAUAUUGCUCAAAAGACGUCAUCUGAGAAUUCGGCCCUGCAGACAGCACAGGUUAAGGAGAAAGAAAAAAAGGAGAUGAAAAUUAAGGGGUGACAAUGCAGUUAUUGCCCUCCUCCCUAAUUCAUGUACUUAUGGCCUUUUUUGUUUCUGGAGCAAAUUCAAAGAAGGUGAAAGUAGCAGCAGGGGAAGGAAAUAGCCUGAGAAACUUGCCAAGAAAGUGACAUUAUGAUUGACUGAAGGAGUACAGCUGCUGCAGGAAAGGACACAGACUUUGAGGGCAGACAUGAAUCUUCACUGCUCCUGGGCAUGCAUUAUCAGGUCUGUGAGGACAACACGGAAAUCACCUUCUCCUUCAUGAUCGUUAAACACAAGCUGUGCAGAAAUUAGGGCAUCCAAGAAUCUGGAGUUCAGACUCGAGUUGUAAGAGAGGACACAUCUCUGUGACAGACUGCAAGCAAAAUAGCUUCUUACCAAGGGAGAUGAGACCUACUGCAAUUGAAUGAGAUGUAUGCCAUUGAUGAAAAUAUGGCCAAUUUGGGAAGCACACAGGCUCUUCUUCAGCUGUUCUAUUUACAUUCUCCAUGUGAUGUUUCUAACUUGUACAAAUAUUUCACUUGACCUAAACAUUCCUGUUUCAUAUAUCCUUGGUCAAAUUUGCAACAUAAUUAAAAAUAAAUAUUUGCUUAA